CUCAGGACGAACGCUGGCGGCGUGCCUAAUACAUGCAAGUCGAGCGGACAGAAGGGAGCUUGCUCCCGGAUGUUAGCGGCGGACGGGUGAGUAACACGUGGGUAACCUGCCUGUAAGACUGGGAUAACUCCGGGAAACCGGAGCUAAUACCGGAUAGUUCCUUGAACCGCAUGGUUCAAGGAUGAAAGACGGUUUCGGCUGUCACUUACAGAUGGACCCGCGGCGCAUUAGCUAGUUGGUGGGGUAAUGGCUCACCAAGGCGACGAUGCGUAGCCGACCUGAGAGGGUGAUCGGCCACACUGGGACUGAGACACGGCCCAGACUCCUACGGGAGGCAGCAGUAGGGAAUCUUCCGCAAUGGACGAAAGUCUGACGGAGCAACGCCGCGUGAGUGAUGAAGGUUUUCGGAUCGUAAAGCUCUGUUGUUAGGGAAGAACAAGUGCGAGAGUAACUGCUCGCACCUUGACGGUACCUAACCAGAAAGCCACGGCUAACUACGUGCCAGCAGCCGCGGUAAUACGUAGGUGGCAAGCGUUGUCCGGAAUUAUUGGGCGUAAAGGGCUCGCAGGCGGUUUCUUAAGUCUGAUGUGAAAGCCCCCGGCUCAACCGGGGAGGGUCAUUGGAAACUGGGAAACUUGAGUGCAGAAGAGGAGAGUGGAAUUCCACGUGUAGCGGUGAAAUGCGUAGAGAUGUGGAGGAACACCAGUGGCGAAGGCGACUCUCUGGUCUGUAACUGACGCUGAGGAGCGAAAGCGUGGGGAGCGAACAGGAUUAGAUACCCUGGUAGUCCACGCCGU
rnacentral:rRNA from 2 species